ACCUCAGCUCAGCUCCAAUUCCUUCCCAGACUCUAAGGCUCCUUCAGGGACCUUCACACCACGUAACCCUCAAAGGCUCCUGCCCCAACCCAGGCUCUUCACUGGUCACACCCUGAACUCCUCCAGGAAGGCUUCUGGCCCCAAGGGCCAGCCCAAACCCGUAAGGCAUGUAGGCUAAAGUCUAGCUGGCACCUUGGGUGACUUGAGGACCCUUGGUGAGGACGGGUCGUCAGAAGCACUGUGGGGAAGCCUGGAUGCCCUUGAAGUCAACUGAGGCCACUGUGGACUGGCAGGCACGGGGUGUAUUUAUUGGAGGACAUGAGGGACAGGAUGGGUGCUGUUGGAGUUGACUGAGGACGUUUGGAGAUAGGCUGGCGACCGUUGGGGACAAAGGGGUGUGGCUGGGAACUAGUGGCUAUUGGGGGAUACGCUGCGGGCGAUCAGAAACUGACCGGUGAACCUUGGGGACAGUCUGGUAGCUGUUGGGGUUGGGGGAGGCUUGGCAGGUGACCGUUGGGAACAGGUUAGGAACUCUUAGGACCAAUCUGGAGACAUUGGGAGCUGGCUGGGUUGGGGCCACUAGGAAUGCAUGAGACCCUGAGGGAAGCUAAGGGUGAGUUUUGGGUGGAAAAUCAAGGACAACGGAGGCCAGAAAGUGGGAGCCAAGGAGCAGACACAGUGGAGACACAUACCCACCAGAAAGUCCUGCCUUCACCCAACCUGGAGCCUCGUAGGGUGAAGACCAUUCCAACUUCCCACCUAACGGUGGAGCCAGAGCCGAUGGGCGAGAGCAUCCGGGGCACGAAGCACCAGGUCUGGGAUUCAGCAAAGCCCGACCAGCAUGGGGCUCAGUUAGUCUCCAAGUCCCGGAACUCGCCUGCGCAGAUCCAGGAGGCCCCUGCAAGUGGGCUGCUGCAUCCACAGAAGCAGGAGGCCUUGGGUUGGACUCAGUAUCCCGUCAUACUGUGGAUGUUUCCAGACCUGUAUGAACACAGGCUACAGUAUUAGAAGUUUCUGACAGGCCAAAUACCUCUGACUGCUGAUGUGCUCUGUGAACGACAUUCCAGGCACUGCUCCAGGUCCUGGACUAAGACCACCGUGAGAGCCUGGAGGACGGCAGGCCUGAGGACCACCCUUCUCUCUGACCCCCACACCCCAGGGCCUAUACCUGAAAUGUUGCUGCAAAAUUAAGUCGAUGGGAAGAGGCCCUCCCACAUCUGAGUUCAGGAAUUAAUGAGAUAGAUGGUCAACUUUACAAGAAUUUUGCCGGCAGUGCAGCUCCUGGCAUGUUUUCUACAGAGAAAACGCUCAGAAUUCAUGCCCUAAAGAACAAUCCAGUCCCCCAACCCCAGCACCUUUGCCCAUCUUCAGAAAGUGAAUCCUAGAGGACAAGAGGUCUCCCCCACCUCUUCUCCCAGCACAGGCCAAAGGUGGAACAAAAAGCUUUGUUCUAGAUCUACCAGUUCCAUGUCUAUGACCAAUGCACAAAAACCAAACAGUUUCAGUUCUGCUAAAUUCCUCCAUGCUUUAUCUUUAGCCGACCAAUGUCUUGGUCCUUAACAUUCCCUGACAUUUGGAAUCUCCCUGUUCCAUCUAAGUUUUAACAGUCCCAAGUUCAGAGAAGAGACAACAGGAAGUAAACCACGAGUGUCUGAGAACUGAGACAGGCCAGCAAUCCUGUGCACCUGCACCACACUGUGCCUUGUGGCUGGCAUGCUGAAGUGAUGUCCUUAAGCUGUGAGUCCAGCAUUAAACUCAACAGGAGCUUUUCUUAGUUCUCUUAUUUUUUAUAUCUUGCCCCAUUUUGCAAGCAUUAUUUCUUCUUCAAUUACAGCACUGUGUUAAAUAUACAUUGCUGUAUGAAAUGCAAAAUCUGGGAAAACAUGGCAGCGGGGUUUAGUUUUGCUCAUCGGUGAUAGAUGGUCGGAGGUCUACCCAGGGCUGGAAAGUGCUGCCCUAGGGACUUCCUCCUCACAGCUACCGGUGUCCCUCCCAAGAGACUUGCCUUUGCUCUCCCCACUACCUUCUCGCUUUCUCCCCUCAGGACUCUUGUGUGAGCCUUAUGGAGAGGCUUGGCCAUUACGGCCACAGCCUAUUAAGGAAUAUGAGUAGAUACAAAAACUCCAACCUGGUUGGAACUUCUCACUGGGAAUUUCCUCUGGGGCCAACUACAAGUCCUAAGAACUGUCUCUCUGGGCAGUGGGGCACACACCUUUAAUCCCAGUACUUGGGAGGCAGAGGCAGGCAGAUUUCGGAGUUCAAGGCCAGUCAGGUCUACAAAUUGAGUGCCAGGGCUACAUAGAGAGGGCUACCCUGUCUGGGGGGAUACCAAAGCAAAACCCUUGCUCGCCUAAAGUUUUUUAAACCUCAUACCCUAUGUUUGGUUGUACACACACACACACCCCUUUACAGAUACCUGUUUUCUCUUUGAAUUAGGAGUACUUCUGGGAAGAUGGUGCCUAACUGUCCAAUCUCACCCUGUGGCUUAGUGCAGGAGAUGGAGCUGGUCUUUAGCUUGUAUUGCUAAAUAGCAAAAUGGUAAAGCUUUGUCUGUUUAAAUAUUCAAUAUUGAACUUUCAUCAGGCAGUGAUGGUGCACCCCUUUAAUCCCAGCACUUGGGAGGCAGGUGAAUUUCUGAGUUUGAGGUCAGUCUGGUCUAGAGUUAAGUUCCUGGACAGCCAGGGCUACACAGAGAAACCCUAUCUUGGGGGGCGGGGGAGACAACUCAACAGGAGGCAGGUAGGGCCUACUCAGUUCCUGAAGGAAAAACCUUGCUAUUUGACUCUUUGUUGUAAAAAGCAGUGCUUGCCAUGUAACUGUUAAGAGCAGACAGCAUUGAGACCCCUGGUGAGUAUGGGCUUAGUACCUGGAGAAGUAAUGACACAAUUUAAUGUCUUACAAUCUUCAAUACCAUCAAGCAAAAAUGCUUAUUUUUAGCAAACUUCUUUUUGGUUUUUUCCUGAGGCAGGAUUUCUGUGUAUCCCUGGCUAUCCUGGAACUCUCUGUAGACCAGGCCAGAAAUCCACCUGCCUGACUCCCAAGUGCUGGGAUUAAAGGUGUGCGCCGCCAAUGCCAGGCCUAACAAACUUUUUAGAAAAGCUAGAAAAACAUUUAACCAGGUACUGUCCUUGAAUUCCAGGACAUUCAGGGGCAGCAGUCUCCCCUCCCAGCCCAAGUGCUAUUCACAGGCCCCCACCCAACACUCAAAUUCCUGAAUCCUUCACUUCUGCAAUGCCACCUGUCACGGCAGCUCAGGGAAUUCCAUCUGGCAAUCCCAACCACUUACUGUGAAUUCACACCAUCAGACUAUCAGUCUCACCAAGGCAUUAACUUUUUAGCAUUAACUUUGUUCCUGGGACACAAAAUCCCAAUCUGGCCAGGUUCAGUGACAUAAGCCUUUUCCCUCUCCAAUCUGGAGGUAGAAGGAUCUAUGAGGCAUGACAGAACAGAGACCCUGUGUUAAAGAACACCUCACCUAGAUGACACAUGAAGUCUCCA